CCUACGGGCGACAGCAGUGAGGAAUAUUGGUCAAUGGACGAGAGUCUGAACCAGCCAAGUAGCGUGAAGGAUGACUGCCCUACGGGUUGUAAACUUCUUUUAUAUGGGAAUAAAGUGAUCCACGUGUGGCAUUUUGUAUGUACCAUAUGAAUAAGGAUCGGCUAACUCCGUGCCAGCAGCCGCGGUAAUACGGAGGAUCCGAGCGUUAUCCGGAUUUAUUGGGUUUAAAGGGAGCGUAGGUGGAUUGUUAAGUCAGUUGUGAAAGUUUGCGGCUCAACCGUAAAAUUGCAGUUGAAACUGGCAGUCUUGAGUACAGUAGAGGUAGGCGGAAUUCGUGGUGUAGCGGUGAAAUGCUUAGAUAUCACGAAGAACUCCGAUUGCGAAGGCAGUUCACUAGACUGCCACUGACACUGAGGCUCGAAAGUGUGGGUAUCAAACAGGAUUAGAUACCCUUGUAGUC
rnacentral:rRNA from 1 species